UUUCAUUCAUAAUUCAUGCCUUAAUUCAAUUUAAUAUAAUUCGUUCUUAUUGUUCGCACAUUUCGCCCUAUCAUUGUUUAAUCAUUUGCAAAACAUUUUGAAAAAAAAUAUAUAGUCUUUGCGCACGCCAUAUUGAAAAAAAAAUUAUACAAAAACAUUUUUGAAGUCCGAAUCAUAACAGAAUUGCUGUAACACCGUCUUUUACAAAUUGCCAGUUCUGUUUUUUCUUGCCUCUCUUGUUAAUGCAACCAGAAAUGUAUGUGGUUUUCUCUGGCUACCGUUAUUGUUGAAUGACAAGAUUAUU